rnacentral:rRNA from 1 species
AUUGAACGCUGGCGGCAUGCCUUACACAUGCAAGUCGAACGGCAGCACGGGAGCAAUCCUGGUGGCGAGUGGCGAACGGGUGAGUAAUAUAUCGGAACGUGCCCAGUCGUGGGGGAUAACGUAGCGAAAGCUACGCUAAUACCGCAUACGAUCUACGGAUGAAAGCGGGGGAUCGCAAGACCUCGCGCGAUUGGAGCGGCCGAUAUCAGAUUAGGUAGUUGGUGAGGUAAAGGCUCACCAAGCCGACGAUCUGUAGCUGGUCUGAGAGGACGACCAGCCACACUGGGACUGAGACACGGUCCAGACUCCUACGGGAGGCAGCAGUGGGGAAUUUUGGACAAUGGACGCAAGUCUGAUCCAGCCAUUCCGCGUGCAGGAUGAAGGCCCUCGGGUUGUAAACUGCUUUGUACGGAACGAAAGGUUUCUAUUAAUACUUAGGAGCUCAUGACGGUA